rnacentral:rRNA from 1 species
ACGGGAGGCAGCAGUGGGGAAUAUUGGGCAAUGGGCGAAAGCCUGACCCAGCGACGCCGCGUGAAGGAAGAAGGCCCUCGGGUUGUAAACUUCAGUCAACAGGGAAGAAACAAAUGACGGUACCUGUGGAGGAAGCCACGGCUAACUACGUGCCAGCAGCCGCGGUAAUACGUAGGUGGCAAGCGUUAUCCGGAUUUACUGGGUGUAAAGGGUGUGUAGGCGGGUUUGCAAGUCAGAUGUGAAAAUUAUGGGCUUAACUCAUAAACUGCAUUUGAAACUGUAUCUCUUGAGUGCUGGAGAGGUAGACGGAAUUCCUAGUGUAGCGGUGAAAUGCGUAGAUAUUAGGAAGAACACCAGUGGCGAAGGCGGUCUACUGGACAGUAACUGACGCUGAGGCGCGAAAGCGUGGGGAGCAAACAGGAUUAGAUACCCUGGUA